rnacentral:rRNA from 1 species
GACGAACGCUGGCGGCGUGCCUAAUACAUGCAAGUAGAACGAUGAAGGAGGAGCUUGCUUCCCUGGAUGAGUUGCGAACGGGUGAGUAACGCGUAGGUAACCUGCCUGGUAGCGGGGGAUAACUAUUGGAAACGAUAGCUAAUACCGCAUAAGAGUAGUUGAUGCAUGACAUUUGCUUAAAAGGUGCAAUUGCAUCACUACCAGAUGGACCCGCGUUGUCUUAGCUAGUAGGUGGGGUAACGGCUCACCAAGGCGACGACACAUAGCCGACCUGAGAGGGGGAUCGGCCACACUGGGACUGGGACACGGCCCAGACUCCUUCGGGAGGCAACAGUAGGGAAUCUUCGGCAAUUGACGGAAGUCUGACCGAGCAACGCCGCGUUAGUGAAGAAGGUUUUCGGAUCGUUAAGCUCUGUUUUAAGAGAAGAACGAGUGUGGUAGUGGAAAGUUCACACUGUGACGGUAUCUUAUCAGAAAGCGACGGCUAACUACGUG